GACGAACGCUGGCGGCGUGCUUAACACAUGCAAGUCGAACGGAAAGGCCCUGCUUUUGUGGGGUGCUCGAGUGGCGAACGGGUGAGUAACACGUGAGUAACCUGCCCUUGACUUUGGGAUAACUUCAGGAAACUGGGGCUAAUACCGGAUAGGAGCUCCUGCUGCAUGGUGGGGGUUGGAAAGUUUCGGCGGUGGGGGAUGGACUCGCGGCUUAUCAGCUUGUUGGUGGGGUAGUGGCUUACCAAGGCUUUGACGGGUAGCCGGCCUGAGAGGGUGACCGGCCACAUUGGGACUGAGAUACGGGCCAGACUCCUACGGGAGGCAGCAGUGGGGAAUAUUGCACAAUGGGCGGAAGCCUGAUGCAGCAACGCCGCGUGCGGGAUGACGGCCUUCGGGUUGUAAACCGCUUUCGCCUGUGACGAAGCGUGAGUGACGGUAAUGGGUAAAGAAGCACCGGCUAACUACGUG
rnacentral:rRNA from 1 species